CACCUUUUGAAUUAUUAUAUGGCAGACACCCCAGGGGAUUACUUGACAUAGCAAAGGAAACUUGGGAACAAGAAGCAAACCCACAUCGCAGUGUAAUAGAACACAUAACUCAGAUGCAGGAAUGUAUUGAAGCCAUUAUGCCAAUAGUCAGAGAACACAUGCAAAAGGCUCAACAAAAUCAGCAGAAUAGCUAUAAUAAGGAUGCUAGAAUUCGAGUAUUUCAACCAGGAGACAGAG